rnacentral:lncRNA from 1 species
CGCCGCCCGGCGGGCACAGCGCCUGCCCCGGGGCGUGGAGGGUGCCGCGUGCCCUGCGAGAGGUCUUGCCGUAGAAACGCUUCCCUCGCUGCGCUGUAAAAACGUAUUUUCAGCUCCGUCGCCGUUGUGAAAGCAAAUCAGUGCAGUAUGAAGGCUGUAUCACAACUCCAGCUUGGACUUAGUCCUUUUCACUCCAUCUACUGGACUACCAGAUUUACCUGUGCCUAGACAUGUCCCUUCAGGAUAUGUACUGACUGAAGUGAGGAGGAAGCUGAGUCUGCAGGAGUAACUGCUGUAUUUCAACAAGAACUGACCAUGCAAGCUGUGGCUUCAAAGCCUUUUGAACUCCAAGCAAAAGCACGGGCAGAUGGAGCAUUCAGUCAGGCUCUUUGCCCAUCCUUCUGCAAAUGGCAGGAACGAUGAAAGCAGCAUAAAUAAUAGAGAGGAGCACAGCACGGAAAAAUAAAUGGCUAAAGAACUCAGAAGCAAUACUUCUGGAAUUUCUCUCCUCAUCAUUUUCUAAGUCCUAGAACCUUCUACUUCCCCUGCUAGCUAAAGAAAAGAGAUCAGUUUAACUCAGGCAUGUAAGGACAGUUCUUUCUUCGAACUUAAUUGCAAGAAAAGCCUGUGGAAGGUAAUGCAGAUGUAAGGGAUGUGACUGCGCACGCCAGACAGACACUGCCAGCAUCAGUUCUUCCUACUUUCCCCAGCCGUUAAUUACUCACUGGAGAUUAUGCCCCCAGUGCAAUUUCUUUGUUCUCCAGCUUUAUUACAACACAGUGAACUCUUCAGGAGUGUAAGUUUUUGCCAACAAGAAGCAAAUUAAUGACACAUUACCGUGUGUUUCCGCUGUCAUCACAAGUGAACACAGUACUUGUAAGAGAUGCUAUUUGCAGACCUCUUAAAGCAAAGACCUUGGAUCUAGCCCCAGCUAUGGCACAGUGAGCCAACCACAGCUCUACAAGAUACAAGAUACAAGGCUGCAGUGAUCUAAGUGGUGCCUCAACCAAACCUUUAACUCCAUCCAAAUAGAAACACAGCACAGCAACACAACCUCCCUCUGCACUGCCCUGUUAACUCAUCAUCAGUGCAGCUUCUCAGGCUAUUCCACCACCUGGUGGAACCCAAGAACGUACUCCAUUAAAUGUCAGCAAACUAAUUGCUAGCCUGUCAAAAUACAGCAUAUAUGACCGCUGACAGCUCUCGCUGGCUGUGUAUGAUUUAGAUAGUCUUUGUUAUCAUUAUCCCAUGCAAUACAUUGUAUAAUCAACAAAUAUACAGAGUGGUGUGUUUAGGCUGGUAUCUGCAGAUCGUACAGCUAGAAAGAUUGUCAUGUUGGAAAGGGAUAAUUGAAAAUAAAUGAAAAUGCUCACCGAUGUCCUAGGCUCACAGAAAAAACUCCAAGAGGAGCAAUCUCCAACCAGAGAUCCUUCUCCAGUGACAGUUAGCCCUUGAACGGGGUCGAGGAGAGGUGCAUCCAGGCUCCACCCCUUCCGAUCACACAGCUGGAUUGCCUUCACCUGUGCUCCCAGGGCUGACUCAGCCCUUGCCUCAGGUGAUCAAUCAGAGGUUCAGGCCGUGACUCAACAGUUCCCAUACAUACAUAGAUUGUCAUUUUUAAACAGACAAAAUGUACAUAUUAUAAUAAAUUCUUCAUAUGUAUGGUACAGAGUGCCAUGUAUAGGUGGUGCUACGCCACACAUUAUCCAGUAAUAGGUAUUACCAAAUCAUUUGCUUUCAUCGUUCUCACCAGUAGAUGAUCACGGUUUGUUUUCUUCCAAACACCCACUUUGUUAUUUCAUAUCCACUUAUUAAGGAAUAUCCUUAUAUUGUGAGUGGCAAGAAAUGUGGAGAGAGGCCAUAUACCAAAGUGCUGUGUCAACCUGCAAGGACCUGCAGAGGGCAGGACCAUGAGGUUCACUGGUUUGGGGGUAUUACCCAGCACUCCAGAGCUGUUCUAAAGGUCACGCAUUCUGUGCAUAAAUAGAAGUGUUGCUAACUGAUCUUUGCUAAACUGACUGGCUACUUGCUUAGACAGCCCUGAACAAAUAUUAAUUGAAACAAUCCAGAGGGCACAUUAUCUCUGAAGAAACCAAAGAUGUUCCGUUGACUUUGGUCUCAAUUACUCAACAGCUUCCACACAGAAAAAGCACACUCGUGAAAGAAGUCAAUCUACUGCUUUAAUACAAAACAUAACUAGAAAGGGUUCAUGCAGAAUCCUACUGUUUCUGUGAUGACCCCCUUUAGGAAAGCACAACUCGGAGAGGGAAAAUUGCUAGAAAGCUGCUGUUUCAUGUGCAUCAUUUGUCUGUGAGAUCUGAAUCAUCAGCUUAACUGCUGAAUUACUCUUUCUGCCUUAAGAUAUGAGAGAGGGAUUCUGAGGGAAACAGAUCAAAAGGCAGCCUUUCCUCCAGCAUAGCACUGAGUGCAGGAGCCAGUUAAAAGUCAUUGCCUUUGUUCUUUGUAGAGUACAAGAACCAGUCUUCCCAUACAUCUUAGCAAUACUGAGAAGCAGAUGAAGCAGAUGAGGAAAAAGAGUGCCUACCUCUCCUAACUAUUUCGCUUCUGCAAAAUAAAGAGUCCAGAUUAGUCAGAGUUACUUGUUGUUAAAUCUAGCAGCCACUUCAGCAAGAACAAUGACAGAAAACCUUGCAGUAACAGGAUUCACUGUGAGGGUGUGAGGGUUGCUGUGCCAUACUUUACAGGGAACCAUUCUGCUUAAUGGUUUAGCAUCUGCUAAGCGUCAGAGUCGGUGAUGUGUUGGUGACAGCGCAGAACUGCUGAAACACAGGACAACAAGCAACAUGAAAAAGCAGAUGCUGAGGCUGUUCAGGCCCUUGAAAAGGGCACUCAUGACAAGAAAGCUCCUGUGAUUCAAUUCAAGGGCUUCACAUCUGGAACAAAACACUUUUUGCAGGGUGCAUGAAGAGGAGCUGGUAACUUUAUAAAGAUAGCACACUCCAGAAGGCUUGGUUCUUUACUGCAAACAAAGCUGGUAGACUUCAAGCAAAACUACGUAGGCUAUAAUGAAUAUUUUUGACUGUAGGGAGAAAAAUGAAUGGCUUGAGUCCAGAAACUCUCUGCCUACAUACAGAACUAGGUCUGUAGGAGAUCCUUAUUCAGCAAGUUUCCUACAAAAGACAUUAAUUUACAUUUUCUUGUUUAAACAACUUUCUCCAUGUGAGAAAUUCCAGCAGACACAGGCUUGGAGGAAUGAAUGAGUGCUGCAAAGAAUUCUGUACAUCACAUAUGGACACUUGUGACUGCUACCAUUCUGGGGUCCCAAAGAUGAUGCAGACACCAGGACAUCAGUCCCUGUUAAUCUGCAGCUGCUCUCCUCCUGGCAGUGCAGUUUGAGAUACAUGAGGUCCUAAAAGGGCUCAGAUGAAAGGAAAGGUUUCUUUUAAUUGUCAUCACUGUUAAUGAACAACUUAGUCCUGUUCAAACAUUCAGACUGUGAUAUGGGUAAGUGUCUCAGUUUAUCAUGCCCUCAAUCUUUUGAACAGCUAGGUUUUAUUUGCUAAGCUCUGGCUGGUCCAAAAGGAACAAGCUUACCCUGAGAGAGAUUGGCUGAACUUGCGGCCUGGACUUUAGAUAAAAAAAUGUUCAGGAUUUGAUGCAAUUUUGCCUCAGCUACUUUUGCCAAGCUUUGAGCUGUCCUUGCAAACCCAGCAACUAAAGCAAACUUCCCUGGAACCCUCCUGCAAAAUAGAAAGGCAUAGUCUCAUUUCAAAAGGCUUUUACUAGGAGGUUCCAUGUCUACAAGUUAAAGAGAAAUGAUGAGUCUUUGUGCCAAAACGAAAAAUACAAACACAAAUGAAUGUGCUAGUGUUAGCUAUGGUUUUCUAUUUUCUAUGCAAUUAGAAUAGCCAUGUGAAAUAAUUAAACAGUGACAACAUGUACUCCUCGUACUGUUGCAUAAUAGCUUCCCAUGAAUUUAUUAAUCAAUGUAUAGCUGUUGAAAUAUUCAAUAUGUUGUGCUGGGGCAUUCCACUCUUGUCCCCAGGGUGAACUCCUUUCCUAUUGCUCUGGCUCACUCAGCAUCAGUACUGUUGACAUUUUCAAUGAUACUACAGUUUUAUCUUUGAGAUUUUUUGAAGAAAAAAUGUUGCAACAAAGACAAAAUACAUCAAACGAGAUGUCCAGCUGUCCACAGAAACAAAGGCCUAUCUUCUGUAAGUGACAUUCAACUAAUUCAAGGCUGCCAGAACUUCUUCCAUGCUCUACCAAACCUGAAAGUGGCACAAUCACUACGGAGUCCUGCAGCACUAACUGACAAGUGUUUUUCAGAACAAAGAUGAAUACUUCCAUAAAUUUAAAAACCAAGCAAGAAAGGUCUUUGCCCAGAGCGCCAAAUACCAAAGGCAUGAUGUGUAACACCACCUUUCCUGUUGGGCUGAUUUCUCCUGUUCCACAGCAGCGCCCAAGAAGUCCUGUGCCUGUAGUAAUUUGGUCUGCAAGAGGAGUCUGUAAGACAAAAUUGAAUGGAAAGUGCUGUAUUCUUUUUACAAUUAAUUCAUGCAAUUUUCAAAUUGACUUUCAAAAAAGCACCAGACACACCCGAGGAAAUAAACCAAUGAUGUGAAUUGCUGCCUGAAACCAUUAUAUAGGUAAUAGCUUGCAUUUAUUGUGGUGGUG